AGUGCCACAGUGAGGGGUCAGAACUCUGCUGAUAUUUCUCACGGAGAACGAAGAAAAUGAAUUAGGGGCUCAAAUUUGGGCUGAAAGGUACUUAAAUUUAACACAUAACUACGAAGAGCGUCACAAGGAUGUCUUCUGUGUGCUGUUUCUGCUCAAAUACACAGAAGUAAUCCUGGUAGAUGGAGGUGAGGCCGGAGUGCAGGGUGCUGUUAGCCGUGGUCAGAGGCUGGAUGAGGGUCAGGAAGUGGGAGCGUGUGUCCUGGUGUCCCAGGACGGACACGCACAUCGCGAAGAAGCCUUCUGGAUCCUCUCGACCCACCAGCACUUCCCUCAGCAGCUUUCUCACAUAGGCUCUGCGGUCCUCUGCUCCCGCCGCUGACGGAGGCAUCCUCGCGAAGUGAAAGGUCCCAGAAAAGUCUGCCCAUUGACAACACACAGCGAUGAUUUGUGGUUUGCAUUCAAGAAACGAAAAGUUCUGUACCGGGCCUCCUGACUGCGGCAUUGUCUGGAACAGAGGGGGCAUUCUGUCGCCGCCCUCAUGGCGUGGUACUGCCAGUGCAGCUGGAGCUUCUCCUGAGUGGGGAACGCCAGGCUGCACCUGCUGCAACGGAAC